GAUGAACGCUGGCGGCGUGCCUAAUACAUGCAAGUCGAGCGAACAGACGAGGAGCUUGCUCCUCUGACGUUAGCGGCGGACGGGUGAGUAACACGUGGAUAACCUACCUAUAAGACUGGGAUAACUUCGGGAAACCGGAGCUAAUACCGGAUAAUAUAUUGAACCGCAGGGUUCAAUAGUGAAAGACGGUUUUGCUGUCACUUAUAGAUGGAUCCGCGCCGCAUUAGCUAGUUGGUAAGGUAACGGCCUACCAAGGCAACGAUGCGUAGCCGACCUGAGAGGGUGAUCGGCCACACUGGAACUGAGACACGGUCCAGACUCCUACGGGAGGCAGCAGUGGGGAAUCUUCCGCAAUGGGCGAAAGCCUGAUGGAGCCACGCCGCGUGAGUGAUGAAGGUCUUCGGAUCGUAAAGCUCUGUUAUUAGGGAAGAACAAAUGCGUAAUUAACUAUGCACGUCUUGACGGUACCUACUCAGAAAGCCACGGCUAACUACGUG
rnacentral:rRNA from 1 species